rnacentral:RNase_P_RNA from 1 species
GAAGUCGAAACGGCUACUGCUAUUUAACAAUAGUAGAGGAAAGUCCGGGCACCAUAGAGACGCGCUCCAGUUAACUGCUGGCGUUCGCAAGGGCAGGGAGAGUAGCACAGAAACAAAACCGCCUAAUCAGUGCUCCGCACUGAGAAUUCUCAAUUUUCAAGUCUAAAUUUUCAAAUAAUUUUCAAUUAAUCAUUGGGAAUUAAAUGAAAAUUGAAAACUGCUAAUUGGAAAUUUCAGUGCGGAGUACUGAAGGCAAGGGUGAAAAGAGGUGGGGUAAGAGCCCACAAUCGCGGCAGUAAUGUUCGCGAGCGGCAAAACCCAGCGUGGUGCAAGACGGGUGGGUCAGUAUCUAAUUAAGUUCAAUGUUCUAGUAACUAGAGCUCCGCGGUGGUCUCGCCGAUGGAUACUGAUCCCGUCGCUUAGAUGGAUGGCCGUUAUCCACAGUAAAGUGUGGAGAAACAGAACCCGGCUUAAUGACUUCCGAA